GGGUGCAUUACUGGGUGAAUCUCCUUUGGAAGGCAACUAAAACUCGGUUGCAUCGCAUGUUGGCAUGCAUGUGGUGGGCGACAUGCGAUGCGAUGCCUAGCUCACUGCCAAAGGAGAUUUGCCCCGCAAUUCAGCC
rfam:Gossypium raimondii Chr11_contig_46, whole genome shotgun sequence.